CUUGUGGACUCCAAAAGCCUGCGGAACUUUGUGCGCCAAUUUAACGUCAAACGGUAGGCCUACCGGUGCUGUCCAGUCUCCCAACUUCCCAACCGACUACACGGGAAUUAUGACAGGAAAUGCCAAGUCACCGUUGUCGUGCCAACAGGAAAGAGGAUCCAAUUGAAAUUCACCACCUUCAAUUUGGAGACUCAAUUCACUACUUUUUUUGUUCAAGACAGAAGCGCGCUUUAUUUAAAUGGUUAUACUGGAAGUACUACCCCCCCCCCGGUGUUCGCCACAGCAUCCAACAUGGUGCAUUUGACUUUUAACAACGUUGGAACUAGUAUAGCCCACACCGCAACAUACGGUUUCAAACUAAUUUACACUGCUGUGUGACGACGUAGGUGCGACAAGUACAACUCCUUGGCUGACCAUUUAAAAAUAACAACAACGAAGGCCA